GACGAACGCUGGCGGCGUGCCUAAUACAUGCAAGUCGAGCGGACAGAUAAGGAGCUUGCUCCUUUGAAGUCAGCGGCGGACGGGUGAGUAACACGUGGGCAACCUGCCUAUAAGACUGGGAUAACUCCGGGAAACCGGGGCUAAUACCGGAUAGAUUCUUUCCUCUCAUGAGGAAAGAAUGAAAGAUGGUUUCGGCUAUCACUUAUAGAUGGGCCCGCGGCGCAUUAGCUAGUUGGUAAGGUAACGGCUUACCAAGGCGACGAUGCGUAGCCGAGCGGAGAGGGUGAUCGGCCACACUGGGACUGAGACACGGCCCAGACUCCUACGGGAGGCAGCAGUAGGGAAUCUUCCGCAAUGGACGAAAGUCUGACGGAGCAACGCCGCGUGAACGAAGAAGGCCUUCGGGUCGUAAAGUUCUGUUGUUAGGGAAGAACAAGUACGAUAGUAACUGAUCGUACCUUGACGGUACCUAACCAGAAAGCCACGGCUAACUACGUGCCAGCCGCCGCAGUAAGAC
rnacentral:rRNA from 1 species